GUCUUGAGUUCCUUCCUGAUUUGUGUAUACAUUAUAUAUAUAGUACUCCUGUCUGUAAUUUAUCACAAGGUAAGCUAUGCAUUUUGAAAAGUAUUUUAAAAAGAAAUGAGGUCCAAAAGGCAACAGUUAGAAUAGUAAUAUUUGCUUUUGCACACAGGAAUAUGAAUGCUUUUUGACACAACCAAUAGUAAAAAAAUAAGCAGAAACAUAUAUAAGUUCAAUCUAAAUCACAUAAUUAAAUAAUGAUAAAUUACUUUUGAUGACAUGCACAGACAUGUUUCUUUAGGUUUUUUGUCACUGAUUUUAAGGUAAAUAAAGGCAACAGUAGUAUACCGCUGUUCAAAACUCAUAAAUCCAUGGACAAAAAACAAAAUCGGGAUAACAAACUAAAACCGAGGGAAACGCAUUAAAUAUAAGAGGAGAACAACGACAUAACACUAAAAUGUAACACAUAUAGACAAAAUCCCACGAGAAUAACAAAUAUAACAUAUAUAUAUAUAACAUCAAAACCAAAUACAUGAAUUUGGGAUAGACAAGUACCGUGACACGUCUUAUCGCAAUGUGAAAUUUACACUAAAAAAUAAGAAGAAAACAAACGACACAACACGUUAUAAUGUAAUACACACAGAAACGAACUAUAAUAUAACAAUGACCAUAUUCCUGACUUGGUACAGGGCAUUUUUAAAGGAAAAAAUGGUGGGUUGAACCUGGUUUUGUGGCAUGCCAAACCUCGCACUUUUAUGGCCAUGUGAAAUAUAACAUCAAAAUGACAACACAGGACUACAAUAUAAAUAAAUUGGAGAACACAAUUGACAAAGAAUCACACGAACAACAGCCAACAAAAGGCAACAAGUUCAAAAUUUUAAUACGCCAGAAGUGUAUUUUGUCCACACAAGACCUAUGUGUGACGCACAGAUACAAAAGUUUGAAAGCCGAAACGAGUACAAAGUUGAACAGCAUCGAGGACCAAAAGAUCAAAAAGGUUGUGCCAAAAACGGCAAGGGUUUUCUGUUAAGUUACCAGAAAAUCCCUAUAAUUUAGAGUAAUUUAUACUUUUGCAAACAGUAAAUUUAAUAAAAUGAAUAUUUCAAGAUGUACAUGAUAAAGCUGAAGUAUUAACUAAUUACAGGAAACAACUGAAAUACAUUUACAUAACCAGACAUUUGAAACACAAAAGUAGACACAUCCGAAUACGUUUUAACCUCUACGCCAAGUGACGUCCUAUUUGAAACUGAAAAAUGACGAAAAAAUUACGUCAAAUUUGAAUUAGUAAACAGAGCAUCAAAAAUGAAAAAUGACGUCACAUAAGAAUGAAUAAGAUAGAAUUAGGAUUAAUUAAGAUUAUAUAUUUGAACUAAAUACUGAUAUGCAUUUAUAACAAAGCACAUUUUAAUUCUUAUUAAUAUAACUGAGGUAGCAAUAACUAUUUAAACUAUGUCAGUUUGUUAAAAUCUAACUUAAACGUAAAAUAUCGUACUGAUUACUUUGAACGAAAUCAAAUCUGAUAAAUGAAGCGUGAUUAAUUUUCUACCAUAACACAUAAAUAUAAUAGAAAAGACGUCACACAUUUGACAAAUCCGAUGAGAAUUACAAAUAGAACAUUUAAACAUUUAAACUAAAUACAUGAAUUUGGGAUGGAUAAGUACCGUACCACGUCUUAUAGUAAUGCGAGUUCACACUCGACAAAACCAAAGGCUCAAGGAUUUUUUUAUUACCCUAGAAUAUUUCAAUAAGGUUAUCAUCAAUUUGAUAUGUUUUUACAUUUGUAUUGUUUCCUUGCAUAUAUCUAGUUCAUUUACAAAAAAGACGUAUGCAACUUAUUUCGAUUUAAAUAAAAUUGAUUUUUUAAUCAUUUUAAUCAACAGAAAACGGACCUCUACUACACAUUACUCAAUUACACAACAGCAUAUCAGUAUACUUUAUAUGGUUAUCAACACAUAUCAUACUGGAACCGUGUGAAAACAUUUCCUGAGUUCAUGCAAAAGGUAAGCAAUUGGGAUAAUUAAACACCGCCAUUGUGGUUGAUAAAAAAUACCUUCAUUAAAUUAUCAUACACUGAAAGGUGUUUUUUUUUAUAAAUAAACCGGAAAAUUAAACAACAUUUGCACCCACAAAAAAAAAAUAGUUGAUUUUUGUAUUACGAAAAACAUGUUUUGCACAAAUAUCAAUUAUAAGAUAAGAUUAUUUGCUAUCGGAAUUUGGAUUACGUUUGUAUACGUGGAUGUUAGGUGUCACUUUCAUACUAUACAAAAAACACACUGAUCAGGUUGCUUAAGUUGCUUAUCGACAAUGUAUUUGUAGAAUUUGGAGGUAGACUUUUUCAACAAAUUGUUGGCAUUCCUAUGGGAACGAACUGUGUGCCUCUUCUUGCCGACCUCUUCUCUUUUACCAUACGAAUGUGAGUUCCUUGAGACACUUGUCAAAAACAACAGGAUAAAAAAAAACUCAGAUUAUUUGUUUUCACUUUCAGAUAUAUUAAUGAUACGCAUUAUUAUGAAUUCUAAAAAACUUCUGGAUAAUUUUAAACCUUUGUCUGUUUCUGAAAAAAAUUUCUCCAUCUGAAAUUGUCAUUUUUUUUAUUUGUCAUACUGUUAACGACAAAAUGUCUUCCUACGUCGCGUUUACAUUUUCUGACAUCAAAGACGCGAAACAUCUUUUUUAAAAUUUGAUAGAUACUUUUUGUGUUUUUUUGUUAAAUAUUUGUUUGUUUUGAGAUUGUUACACAUUGAUGACUGCUGUGCCCAUAUUUGUACUAUAUUUCCUACUUUGUCUGGUUUGUUCACGCAUUGUUGUAAAUAUAUCGGAAUUUGAUGCGAAUGUCAUACAAGUAAGAGGUUUAGCGCUUUAUAACCAGGUUCAAUCCACCAUUUUCUACACUUAGAAAUGCCUGUUCCAAGUCAGGAAUAUGACAGUGGAUGUCCAUUCGUGUUUGAUGUGUUUCAUCAUUUGAUUAGGGACUUUCCGUUUAAAUUUCCUCGGAGUUUAGUAUUUUUGUAGUUCUACUUUUUGAUGUGAUUUGCGUUGUAUCCAUCUGAUGAGUAAAGCCUUUUUAACUGAUAAGUGUUAGGGGAAGAUUUGAGUGCUCAAAACAUGUUUAAUCCCACACCAUUCAUUAUGUAUGCCUUACAAAUAUGUUCUCCUAUUUAUUUGGAUUGUAGUUCUGUAAUGUUGUGUUGUCAUUUUAAUGUUAUAUUUAACAUGGCCAUUAAAGCGGGAGGUUUGGUAUGCCACAAAACCAGGUUCAUCCCACCAUUUUUUCUCUUUUUUUCUUUAAAAAAUGUCCUGUACCAAGACAGGAAUAUGGUCAUUGUUAUAUUAUAGUUCGUUUCUCUGUGUGUCACAUUUUAACGUUGUUUCUUUUUUGUCGUUUGUUUCCUAUUAUAUCUGAAGGUGAUUCACAUUAUUAUAAGACGUGCCACGGCAAUUUUCCAUCCCAAAUUCAUGUAUUUAGUUUUGAUUUUAUAUUUGUUACUCUCAUCGGAUUUUGUCUAAUGCUUAGUUCGUUAUUGUAUGUGUUACAUUUUAAUGUUGUGUCGUCAUUUUCCUCUUAUAUUUAAUGCGUUUCCCUCGGUUUUGGUUUGUUACUCGGAUUUGUUUAUUUCUAUCGAUUUAUGAGUUUUGAACAUCGGUAUACUUCUGUUGCCUUUAUUUACCAAGUCAGGAGAUUAUGUUCACUGCUUUUCACUAGCCCAUGUCGGUCUUUUAUGUAUUUCGUAAAUUGAUUUGUUCUGAAUUAGGCCUUUAGUUGUUAAAUUGAAUAUUUUUUAUAUCUUUUUAAUGUCGGUGCCUGUCGUUUCCGACUAUUUGGUUAUGUUUUUUUCUCAGUAUGGAAAGCAGUCCAGUUGUUUUUUAAUUACUUACUACCAACUAUUUGUGAAUAGUUGUCUCAUUUGAAUUCAUUUUAACAGUAUGUGCUGAAAAUCAUCAAUAAUUUUAAAUCAAAUCAAAUGUUACAUCAAAAUCCUUGAUUUUGUAGCUUGGAUGUCAAAAUACCAACCCU
rnacentral:lncRNA from 1 species